GACGAACGCUGGCGGCGUGCUUAACACAUGCAAGUCGAACGGUGAAGGGACCGGUUUUUGCUGGUUCUGGAUGAGUGGCGCACGGGUGAGUAACACGUGAGUAACCUGCCCCCUUCUUCUGGAUAACCGCAUGAAAGUGUGGCUAAUACGGGAUAUUCUGCGCCUGCUGCAUGGUGGGUGUGGGAAAGAUAUUGUUUCGGUGGGGGAUGGGCUCGCGGCCUAUCAGCUUGUUGGUGGGGUGAUGGCCUACCAAGGCGGUGACGGGUAGCCGGCCUGGGAGGGUGGACGGGCACACUGGGACUGAGACACGGCCCAGACUCCUACGGGAGGCAGCAGUGGGGAAUAUUGCACAAUGGGCGCAAGCCUGAUGCAGCGACGCCGCGUGAGGGAUGGAGGCCUUCGGGUUGUAAACCUCUUUCGCCAGUGAAGCAGGCCUGUCCCUUGUGUGGGUGGGUUGACGGUAGCUGGAGAAGAAGCGCCUGCUAACUACGUG
rnacentral:rRNA from 1 species